rnacentral:rRNA from 1 species
UACGUAGGGCGCAAGCGUUGUCCGGAAUUAUUGGGCGUAAAGAGCUCGUAGGUGGUCUGUUGCGUCCGCUGUGAAAACCCAGGGCUUAACCCUGGGCUGGCAGUGGAUACGGGAAGACUAGAGGUAGGUAGGGGAGAAUGGAAUUCCCGGUGUAGCGGUGAAAUGCGCAGAUAUCAGGAAGAACACCGAUGGCGAAGGCGGUUCUCUGGGCCGUAACUGACGCUGAGGAGCGAAAGCGUGGGGAGCGAACAGG